AUGACGUCCAAAACACCAACCAUCUGUAACUGUGUUCCCUCAACCAUAUCUGAGGAACGUUUAAAAGAGUUCUUCACCAUAGGAUUUCUGCCAGCGAAAACUAUCAUGCCUUACCGUGCCCCUGGCCCGGAAGAAGAACAACCCAAUCCAAGAGAGGAUGAGGUGAUCGUUUUUACUGACCACAUGAACCGUGGCUUCUCACCGCUCGGCUCAAAGUUCUUCAGAGAGGUCCUCCACUUUUUCAAGCUCCACCCUCAAGAUAUCGGGCCCAACUCCAUAUCUAACAUCUGUAACUUCCAAGUGCUCUGUGAGGUAUAUCUUUAA
rnacentral:rRNA from 1 species